GAAGAGCUGGGGGCUAGAAGCCGCAGGGGCUUAAAGACAGCCCGGGAGCACAGCUGCUCAGCUGGAGGAAGGAGACAGCUCCAAGCCCCCAGGGAGAGGCCCUCCAGAGAUGGACCAGAAGGAAAGGAAGCCCUCUGAGGAUGGGACCCCUGUGUCCCCAACGACGGAGGUCCCGGAGACAGUGGGAGGGGGAGCCUCUGCUGAGGAGGAGGCCACAGGCCCAGCUGAGAGGACCAUCACAGAGGGGCCUCCAGAUGGGGCAGGAAAGCAGGAGAGGGCAACAGCUGAGGACAGCAUUUCAGCUGAAUUCCAGGGGGAAUCCAAAGGGGAGGCUGAACUGCAAAAGGACGACAGUGAGAAGAAAGAGACCACCGUGGCUCCUCAGGAGAUGGCUGAUAGGAAAGAAGAGACCAACUCUGAACCCAAGGAGGCCGAGGGAAAAGAGGAGACCACGUUGGCCUCUGAGAAGCAAAAGGCUGGUGAGAAAGAGGCCAAGCCUGGAUCUAGGGAGAAAGCCAACGUGAAUGAUGAGGCACAGGCUGCUGGGGAGCAGGAAGACAAGGCUGGAGGCAGGGAGGCUGCUGGGAAGGAGGAGGCCAUGGCUGGAGGCAGGGAGGCUGCUGGGAAGGAGGAGGCCAUGGCUGGAGGCAGGGAGGCUGCUGGGAAGGAGGAGGUCAUGGCUGGAGGCAGGGAGGCUGCUGGGAAGGAGGAGGUCAUGGCUGGAGGCAGGGAGGCUGCUGGGAAGGAGGAGGUCAUGGCUGGAGGCAGGGAGGCUACUGGGAAGGAGGAGGCCAUGGCUGGAGGCAGGGAGGCUGCUGGGAAGGAGGAGGUCAUGGCUGGAGGCACGGAGGCCAAAAGGAAGGAGGAGGCCAAGGCUGGAGGCAGGGAGGCCAAAGGGAAGGAGGAGGCCAAGGCUGGAGGCAGGGAGGCCAAAGGGAAGGAGGAGGCCAAGGCUGGAGACAGUGAGGCUGCUGGGAAGCAGGAGGCCAAGGCUGGAGCCAGUGAGGCUGCUGGGAAGCAGGAGGCCAAGGCUGGAGCCAGUGAGGCUGAUGGGAAGGAGGAGGCCACAGUGGCCUCUCAGGAGGAGAGCGACAAGACAGAGGAGCCCAAGGCUGAAGCCCAGGAGAAAGCCAGUGCUCCAGAGGCCAAGUCGGACUCUCAGGAGAAGACUGCCGUGGAAGAUGAGGCCAAGCCUGAAGCACAGGAGGAGGAGGUGAAGGAGGAAGUGGAGCCAGGCUGUCCUCACGAAGAACAGGAGCAGGGUGUGGAGGAAGAGUCAGAGGAAGGGUCAGGAGUGCUUCCCGGCUCCGCCGAGGAAUGGCCCGAGAGCCCCACGGAGGAGGGCAGAGGCCUCAGCCCAGAUGGGCUGAGUCCAGACACCGCAGCUUCCGGAGGGACCAGUCCUCCAGCCAGUGACUCCUCACCCAGCGAUGUGUCCCCGAGUCCCACGGAGCCCCCUCCCUCACAGGAGAAGAAGAAGGAGGCGGCACCAGAGCGUAGGGUGUCGGCCCCUGCCCGGCCCCGGGGGCCCCGUGCCCAGAACCGCAAAGCCAUCCUGGACAAGUUUGGAGGGGCAGCCUCGGGCCCCACGGCCCUGUUCCGGAACCCCAAGGCCGCGGGGGCAGCCAUCGGCGGCGUUAAGAACAUGCUCUUGGAGUGGUGCCGGGCCAUGACGAGGAGCUACGAGCAUGUGGACAUCCAGAACUUCUCCUCGAGCUGGAGCAGUGGCAUGGCCUUCUGCGCCCUCAUCCACAAGUUCUUCCCCGAUGCCUUUGAUUACGCUGCGCUGGACCCCGCCAAGCGCCGGCACAACUUCGCCCUGGCCUUCUCCACAGCCGAAUUCCUCAAGCAAAAUAUUAAACGAAUGCCCAACAUCUGAAACAGAUUUUAAGGAGCCCUUUUUAGGUUGGGAGGGGUUCCUGGAGCACUCCAGCUCAGCGCCCAACCCUGCUUCCCAAGAUGGUCCCGGAAGCAUGUCUACAGGGCCCUAGGGCACCAAGGAGGCCAUCUGAAAUCCACCAGACUUGGUGCUCCAGAAGAUCCCUUCCAGUUGAUCCCGCCAAGGGAGCCGGAGAGUGCCCUGGGGUGGGGGGCCGAGGGCAUCAGAGCACUAUGUCCCGCUCUUGGCUCAGAAGCACCUUUAAUGGUGAUGAACCAGGAUUGGAAAGUGAAACUCCUAGUCGGGGCUGAGAGCUCUCGGUGGACAUCGGAAGGGCAUGCGGCUCGGCCCUGCCCAGGGGCCCCCGGCCUGUGGGGCCGGGUCAUUGGCCUCCUGCAGCUGCCUCGCCUUGGCUCCAAGCCUGCAGAGCCACAGAAAGGAAGAAAGAAUACUCAGGUGAUGGUGACAGGCUGAGAGGAGGCAUCGGGCAGCAGUGAAAAGGGAAGGACAUGCAGGGGACGCGUGGGGACGGAGGGUGGAGGAAAAAGAGGUGGCGUUUCCUGACCAGUGAUGACCCAAGAUCGAACCCGUGCCCCCUGCAGUGGAAGCUCAGCGUCCCAACCAGUGGACCUCCAAGGAAGUCCCCCUUCCUAGCUCUUUGACCCUCGGCAGCUGACAACCUCUUUUAGGGCCUGGAGUGCAGAUUAAGUGUGCAAAGUAAGGGGGCCCCUGCCGCAGCUGGCUCCUUUCUAGAACUCGCCUCUGAUUCCCACGGAACGGUCAACGCUGGGGCCCCCAGGCGGCUUGAUCGGCUGUGCUGCUCGAGGAGCCCGACCCCGUUCCCCAGGCCCAGUGGGCAUGAAGCUUUUGCCUCUCCGCCAUGGGAACAGCACCCCGACCCACACCCAGGGGCCCAGAGCACUGCAUUGGCUGCAGGGAGCUUGUCCCAUUCUUCGAAACCUCCAGCCUGUGCUCCUCCCUCCCACUCCCUGGCCAGCCCGGCUUGGGUUUCGGUCCAGCUGUCUCAGCUCUAAGAGAGGAUUUCCGCUGGGACCCUGGUUUCGCUCACUGCCAGCACCCAUGGCGGUUUGGCAGAGGCUGGGACUGCUGAGACCCGGCUACAGGGCAGGGAGGCCAGAGGCAUCAGGCAGGCCUGCGGUGGAGUCCCAGCUGUGUCUCUCGCGUUGACUUUGGGCAAGUCACCAAAAUGCUCUGAGUCUCCAGUUCCUCUUCUGCUGGUUGAACAUACAGGAGUGGAGUAAAUGAGACCAUUCAAGGGAAAGCACCUGGGAGUUCCCUGGUGGCCUAGUGGUUAGGAUUCCAGGCUUUCACGGACAUGGCCUGGGUUCAAUCCCUGGUUGGGGAACUGAGAUCCUGUAAGCUGUGUGGCACAACCAAAACAAAAA